rnacentral:rRNA from 1 species
CUGGCUCAGGAUGAACGCUGGCGGCGUGCUUAACACAUGCAAGUCGAACGAAGCAACUUAUCACGAUCCCUUCGGGGUGACGAUUUGUUGACUGAGUGGCGGACGGGUGAGUAACGCGUGGGUAACCUACCUUGUACAGGGGGAUAACAGUUGGAAACGACUGCUAAUACCGCAUAAGCGCACAGCUUCGCAUGAAGCAGUGUGAAAAGUUUUUCGGUACAAGAUGGACCCGCGUCUGAUUAGCUAGUUGGUGAGGUAACGG